AUUGAACGCUGGCGGCAGGCCUAACACAUGCAAGUCGAGCGAGACGGGGACGGGAUGGCAAGGUCUGGGAAUCUGCGUGGUGGAGGGGGAUCACUACUGGAAGCUAUAGCUACUACCGCAUACCUUCAGCUGUGCCCAGGUGGGAUUAGCUUGUUUGUGGGGUAACGGCCCACCAAGGCGACGAUCCCUAGCUGGUCUGAGAGGAUGACCAGUCACACUGGAACUGAGACACGGUCCAGACUCCUACGGGAGGCAGCAGUGGGGAAUAUUGCACAAUGGGCGAAAGCCUGAUGCAGCCAUGCCGCGUGUGUGAAGAAGGCCUUCGGGUUGUAAAGUACUUUCAGCUGGGAGGCGUUACCAACAGAAGAAGCACCGGCUAACUCCGUGCCAGCAGCCGCGGUAAUAC
rnacentral:rRNA from 1 species